ensembl:lncRNA
GGCGAGAGGGAGGUGAAGCUUGUUCCUGGCUCUUCCACCAAUCCAAUUGUUUCUUAUAGACAGAAAAGAGCAAAGGCUCUGAGCUGUCCGAUCAGGUCCAUUGUCUACUUGUGCACUGAAAGUUUUGGCCAAGGUUUCGGGAACUGAUGGCUUUAUGGAGUAGCCUACAGCACCACAGUCGUCGCAUCGGGACACUGGUAAUUUUUUUCAUAAGGGAGGGACAACUGUAGCAUUUUUAGUGAUGGGAUGAUUGAUAUUGAAGCUCCGAUGCAGUAUUCAAAGCACUAUGUAACAUUAUCACGUGUUCAAUGACGUCCGAAGAAUACGUUUCUAAACCCGGAGGCGCAACAUCGCCAUGAAUCAUUAUAAUAAGAUAUUUUCAGAGUGAAUAUAAUUGCACUUAAAUUGUUUAUUUUUUGUAUUUUAUUUAUAUUUUUUGUAUGUUUGAGCAUUGUUAAUACCUGUGUUUGGUUUGCUAGACAUGUUUGAUGUAGCAAUGUAAGUUGAUUUUUGUAUUAUGAAUGCGCAACAUCGCGAGAUUUCUGGGAACGCGCGCGACAAACCAUGGGUUGAGAAGUGAACCAUUUAAAACAUUCUUCCUGAGUUUUUCAUUUUCUCUAAAUCUAAAGGCUUCGAUUCGAGACGAUUUCUUAAGUUGUUGAACAUGUUAUGACUUUGAUUUGACCGAGUGCGCAUUUCGGCGCAAGACGACCCUUAGACCCGAUGACGUGUCUCUGCGCAUGAGCUUAGCGAGCCAACGUCGCCAUGACAUCGCCUACAAGCGUGAUCAGGGAUUUAUAUUGGAGAAGCAGUUUUAGCCUAUCUUCAUUUAUUUAUUUUAUUUUUAUUUUUUAUUACAACGAAUAGUUUCUCUUACAGAGUUCAUUCAAUCACAAAAGUAAGAACAUAUCCUUGUUUAAUGCAUGCUCUACAAGUAACAGGCCUCUACAAGGGUAACACUACAGCACCUCAGCUAAAGACAACAAAAAUGAUUAAUUCAAUUUGAAAAUACGUUCUCUAACCAGUUUUUUUAGUUGGUACGAAAUAAAGUUUGUAAAGGGUAAAAAAAAAAAAAACAGGGUCAAAUGGUUUUGUAGGGCAUUUUCCAAGUUCGAUACUCUGAAAUACAUGUACGUAUCCAUUUAGACAUGAAUAUGUUUUGCAGAAAGAAUCCUUUUGGCAGAUAGUUGAACGAAGCCUCUGAUGAAGCCUCAGCGAGAAGUACGUGUACAUGAUGAGGGCCCCAUAUGAGGCAGUAACAAACAGCAGCGGCCGGCAACAGCCUCGGCCUGGGCCUUACCUCAAGUGUUUAAACUAUUUUCUGGAUCGUCAUCAUCUUCUGCUGCCCAAGAAGGCCCAGACUGGGGCUGCUCUUCAUCGCCGGACGACUGGUGGAAAGCUGCUACCCCCAGUAAGGCCACCUCCUCAGGGAUAGGCUUGAUCUUCUGGUCACCACUGACAUCGCUAGACUCAGAGUCCAGGUCCCCCUCUUCUUGACUGGAAGAGGAUGGCGUCUGCUUCAUUCUAUGCUCGGAUUGAGGUGUGCUUUGAGGCUUGACUGCCUGGGUAUUACCCUCCUUGCUGGAUGCAUCCUCUUUCUUGACCUUCCGAGGUCUGCCCCUGGGCCUAUGUUGAGGACUAUCCUUGCUGGGGGUCCGGAUCGUCACUGGAGGAAUCAGAGUCAGAGGAGCGGUCUGGCACCUUGCGUUUGCGGACAACUCUUUCUGGAGAGAGGGGCGUGUUCUUCUUCAGGCCAAAGAGGCAUUUCUUGGUCACACUCCGAUGGUCUCCAUCGUCACUCUCGGCUUCGUCUGAACUACGCGUCAUGGCGGCCCGCUGGAGGACAGCUGAGACCUCAUCGGAGUCAGAGUCAUCAGUUCCUCUCCCAAGCCCUCCCUCGUCAGCUCCUUGAGGCACUUCAGCAUUGGGGCUGGUGUCAGGGUCCGAGUCACUCUCACUGCCUAUCUUCAUGUCUUUGGUAAUACUAUUGGCGCGAGUCAAUUGCCGCGUUUGUCUGCCAGUCGGAACUAGGCAACUCCAAAAUGUCCGACUUGAUAAUUGGUUGUAGUUAUACACGUGCCAUGUUCAACUAGUUAGCAAUUCGGAAAUUUGUUUCCUAGUUCCGACUAGUACGUGAACGCAGCACAAAGCCUUUUAUAAGGUUAGAAAAUGUGGGUGAACGCAGCACAAAGCCUUUUUUUAAGGUUAGAAAAUGUGGUGUUUUGUUUGUAAAUGUACUUUUGUGAAUAUGAAAUUUGGCCAAAAGAAUAAUUAAAU